ACUCUUUGGGAGAGGGGGACAUUUUAUGUGUUGUUGUGUAUUUACUUGUGAUCAUUUCACGCUGACAAUCAUUAGAAAAAGGGCUAUACUACAACUUGAGCUUGAAAAAAGCUUCAAUAGUUUU
rnacentral:rRNA from 1 species